AGACGUGCUCGCACAGCGAGCUGAGCAGGGCGCUGCCCAGGCCCAGGCAGAGCAGCACGAAGAGACCCGAGAAGUGGUAGAUUCCCAUCUGGAGGGUCUGGAGCAGGACACAGGAUCCUCUCACCGCCACGAAAGCAGACCGCUGGGGAGUCCUCACGUGGCGCCAGAGCCAGGCUGGGCGCACGUGAGGGCUCGCGGAGGCGGGCGUGGAGGGGGUGURGGAAGGGCACCAACGCAGAUGGACAUCUGGGGGGUGAGCAGGGGUCGAGCGCUUCGCCCGCUAAGCUGUCACGCACUCUGGGGUCCUGCCUCACCUCAGUAACCGCGAAAACGCGCUUUCCGCAAGGCACCAUCUUGUACCACUUGUCGUGGAGCAGGUCGAUGAACCCCGAGGACUUGUAGCGGCUGAUGAACUCGGACAGGUUGGAGCCCACUGCCUUCUCCAUCUGCAGAACACCUGGACCUGGACCCUCCCGUUUUCCUUUCCAUCCUCAACCACAUGCCCCAGAGUCAAAGCCCAAGUCUUCCCUGCAGCCCACAGGACCCCAAAUAAGCUUCCCUGUCCUCCCUGCCUCCCAUCCUCCUCUCUGCGAUCUUCAUCUUCUGUCUCCCUCCUACCUUGCUCCAGCCACACUGGCUUUUAGCUGAGCUGUGGGGCCCUGCCUGCCCCAGGGCCUUUGCACAGCUGUGUCCCCUAACUGGAUCACUUAAUCACAGACAUCACAAGACCAUUUGCUCAAGCAGGAGGGUGUCACGUGAGGACUUUGCUUAUCUGUCAGGAUUCUCUGCCUAUUUUGUCCACAGAGCAUGGAACAUACUAGGUGCUCAAUAAAUGUCUCUGGGGACUGUG